GCAGGCGGUCCAGCCUGGGAUGGAGAGUCAGGACCAAUCCUCUCCCCGAAACCUAGCGCACUCGGCCAAUCCUCUCCGUCCUUCGAGCCCUCUUCUUCUCUUUCCGCGCCGUCUCGUCUUCCCUGCUCUCGCACCGCCGCCUUCUCUCCCGGCGCUCAAGGUGCAACAACAAGGGCACGUUCUCCAUCCAGCCGGAGCCGGGUAGGGUGCAGGUCGCCGGCAUCAUGCACCGUGUCCCAUGAUUCUGGAUCUGGCGCAUAUCUUCGUCAGGAGACUAGGAGCAGCAGUGAGGGCAGCAGAGGAACCCAUCCUGAACGAGCCCGCUCCGGCGUUUGCCCGCAAAGGAGAGGGCGAGGAUGGUUCCCAGUUCGUGGAGGAGACGAACGGGCACAUGGCAAGCAUGUAUUCAUGGUGCUUGCGGAGGAGCAGGGCUGCUAAGGAAAAGUGGUGGUGGGGGAGGAGGACGCCCUUGUCCUUGAUGUUCGGGCAGCCAUGGCUGACGCCAGAGCCGUUGGCUGGCCUUGAAAUUGUCCGUUGUCGGCGUCCUCGUCAUCCAACCACCAGAAAUUUGGUGGCACUGGAUCCUGCGGGAGGAGGUCCCUGAGGCAUUUGAUUCUUGUGGGAUUCCCACACAUCUUGUUGGAUCAGCAACAAGUGGCUGGGCCUCUACAUUAUUCAUAAAAUCUAUUUUUAUCUUUCAUUUAUUUGUCUAAUUUCUGUGCCCGUGUCCUCGCCUCUGUUCGGCUCUUGUUGAAGUUCCAAUGAAUUUCUGUGCUACCUAAGAAGUACUAAUGCUCAUAUAUUACAAUUUGCUAUCCACAGCUUUCAGUCACGGGAUCUUGAGAAAAGUAGUUUAGGCAUUUUGCUUGUGUCAACUAUAUGAAAUCUGCAAAGUCUUUUUUGUGUGCAGAAAAUUUCACACUCUGCAUUACUUGCAAAAGAUGCUGAUUUUGAUCUUAACAAUUAUAGUUGUUGUUCAAGCAGUAGAAGAUCUGGCAACCUCACGGCCAUCUCAUUCGAAAUUGAAGUCCUAUCCUUAAAGUUUAGCUAAGUGUAUUAUUUAUUUUCUGGUUUAAAUUAUUUUCCUCAUGUGACACAAAAGGCUUGAAGCCUUCUUUUAACUCGCACUUCUAUGCUAACCAAAUUUAUUUCUGGCUGUCAGAAGAGUUCGGAGCGAAGCUGGCCAGCAUCUUCGCAUGUGACACAAAAAUUGUUGUUCAAGCACACAACUGCUGUAUUUCGUAAAUUGUGACGUGUUCAUAUGAUUUUUUACUGAAGGUGCUUGUCAAUUAUAGGUGAAAAACUUGGCAUGGAGGCGCAUAGGAUUGCUGCUUCUGUUUUUGGAUUGGCCCUUGCGAGGGAGACCGAAGCAAACUCCAGCAGGUUUCAGGGAUAAUACAACCAAUCCAACUACUACCUUUGGUGUGCUUUUUGGAUGGACUAAUCUGAAGAUGCUGACUAGCUUGCACCACCAUCAUAUAGUCACGAAGCAAGGGCAAGGAUUAUAGGGAAAAUAAAGGCAAUUCACCAUCCGGAGGAAAUGCCAACUAAUACAUUUUUGUACUUCCUCUAUUACUAUUGUCUGUUUGAACUCUUGUAGUACGGCUCGGACUUUCAAAGUUAUUAGGCCUGUGGACAUGUUUUUAUUUUAGUUUGUACAGUUUUGUGUUCUUUUGGCUUCAGGUUGGUGCUGCACAGAAAGUGCAGUACACUCAGGUGAUGCAUGAAACAAACUGCAGACCUAGCAUAGUUUUUGUAUUUGGAUUUUGUAACUAAGGUGAUGCUUUUAUGUUAAAAUGCUUGUUUGUUCUCUAAGUAAGCUGACAACGGGUGCUAG
rnacentral:rRNA from 1 species